ACAGCCCAAAGCGACCGACGGAGAUGGAGGACGCGGCUGCUUGCAGCUCGCUUACUCCAAACGAGCUAAGAAGUUUCCAGCAUCCUACGAAGAAGCUACGUGCGACAAGCGUCAGAGUGAAAAAGCUGCCAGCGACACCGACGAGCUACGAAGGAUUGCCAGUCGACGUCGAAAUGUCCAGCGAUACAGCGAGCGAAAUCGAAAGUUCGGCUUCGCAAAAUCGAUCGUCGUUGCCAAAGCGACAGCGUGUCCCAGUAAUCGUCAUUCGAGAGAUGCACCGAUGGACAACAUUAGCAGGCCUGCUAGCGAGACACAACGUGAAAUUUCUGAAGGCCAGUAACAUAGCAGACGGGAUAAGCGUCCAUUCCGAAACCAUCAUGAACUACAGGAACAUGAUAAAGCUGCUGAAGCAAGAGACCGUCGAGCACCACACGUACUUGCUUCAAGAAGACAAAAACCGUUGAAGGUGGUACUUCGCGGUAUCCCGACAGACAUCCAGACUGCAGAUGUAACAGAAGACUUGAUGGCGCAGGGUUUUAACGUCGGAAACGUCGUCAGGAUGACUAGCGUAGAGACGCCACGACAACGGACCAGUGCCACCGAUGCCAACGUUUCGGGCAUCCACACAGGAAUUGCACGUCAACCACCACGGCCCAACUUUUUCAUACAACACUGGUGUUUUAUUGUUGUGUUUACGGUUGCUCUAAUACCAACCGGGAUGUUCCCAUGCAUAUGUCUCCUAAAGACGAAAUGCGUUAUCAACUGCGGAUUGGCCGUGCUGACUUCCUACAGAAACCGAUGAACUAUGUAAGGAGAUAAUAUCGCGUCUGUCACAUCCACUUCGGAGCAGACCGUAAAGCAGGAUGGCGUUCCGACGUUAUUGUUGCCAAGCGCUCCUGCAGAGAGAGGUAACUAAUAUCUUUUUCAAUAAUCAAUCUCUGCAUACAUUGUUAUUGAGCGUACAUUAAGAAUUGAAAUAUAUUAAUAUUUUCUUGCGGUUAAUGACUUAAUGCCUUCGUUUUUACAAAGGAGUGCAUGUACUUCUGUACUGAGACAUAUCACUUGAGAAGCUUUUCUUCCGCAUACUGCUGUAUUUCCGUAUAAAGUCUCAUAUGGAUAUGUUGCUGUAAUUUUUUUGUUUUCACAAAUGUCCCACAUACCGACGCCACAUCCGCCGAUUCCUACAGACUACUACCGACAACGGCGUCUGUAAU